UAUGGUUUAUCAAAUUUUCAUGAUGGUUGUUAAUACUUGAAAGAUGAUAUAAUAUCAAUUGUGAUUACUUUCUGCAUAAAGCCAACGGGUUGUUUAAAUAUGUCACAUAUGAUAAUGAUCCAAACGUCCGAUACACAAAUUCUUUGCCACGCGCUUACACCUUUAAAAGCCUCACAAAACUAAUGAAUGGAAUCAACCACGGAAUUGCCACCUACAUUAUCAUUCAUAGAAAAUUUUCCGCGACGGCGCAAUAACGUCACACGUCUAUGGAGGUGUCAGCUGGCGAUACCAGUACAUAAUGUAAAUGCAUAAGAAAUUCAUAAAGGGCGCAAUUCUAUGUUCGAGCCCUAUUGUAUUUUUCACAUUGAAGAUAAGAUAAGACGAUAUUAAUGUCGUGUUAGUGCGUUUUUGUCCUGGAAUAAAUGGUUUGGUUUCCCGUAUCGUUUCUCUACACGGAAAGAAUUCUGUUAUUAAAAAAUCAUAAAAUAUUUUAUAUUUUUAUUAAAUCAUGGCAAUGAUUCUUGAUUUUAUGAUCAAAAUGAUCCAAAUCAUGAGCAAUAACUCGUAUCCCAAGAAAAUUGCGUUACUUGAAUAGUGUAUUUCAUUCGAAACACUUAAUUAAAAUUUUCUUACUGAUUAUGUGAUGGAUUGUGUAAAAGAUAAUUGAGAAGACAAAA